ensembl:lncRNA
AUGUCUUACAAACUCUGUGGGUUUUGCAUUAUGUAUGUAGGAAUGAAGAACUUCGGAAAGGCAGAAAGGAUGAUGCAGAAGGCAAUAUUACCCAGAGGAUACAGAAGCAAGUAUGUUGCGAUCGCAAGGAACACAAUGUUUAUGCCGCGGAGGGCCACCUGUGCUUUAGAGUGUUUCUACAAGAACAAAUCUGGGUGUCUCAAUUUAUACGUCUCUUUUCAUUGUGUGUGGAAUGCACUUUCUGGAAGCGCUUUACGUGCCAUAAAUAUAAAACAUCCCAGGACUUCUGAGAAAACUGAAGGCUGCUGUAAUGCCAAAGCAAAUAGAUGGGAACAUUGUACUGGAGACACAAGAAUUCAGUCAUGCUUUCAAAAAAAGAAGACAGGGCAAAAGAAUGUGUGUUUAUAUGCAGCAGUCCCCCCGUUGCCAUGAAUUUCGACUCACAAAGAUCACAUUAAACUUUUUGCAGUUUUAUGGUAAUGUUAACAACAUAAAAGCCACGUCAAAAUUUACUUACUAUUUGUGUAGAUUGUUAUGCUGAUAAAUCUCCAGUCUUUCUUUAACUCUAAAAUGUAAAGCUUUGUUAGGGGUGUCUCAUUCACUGGACAUUAAUGAAAUACAUAAAAUGGAAGGGACAAUUAAGCAACAUACAGAUGCAUUCGUCUUGUUUUUGCUAAGCAGUGGUAUCUAGCUUUGCUCUAUGGAAACCUCUUGAUAAAUUAUUUCACUUCUGCUUUGCAUUCAUGCUUUAAAGUGUGAUGCAUUUCCAGCACAACCACAUACGCACUCUUCAAGUUAAUGUUUACAUCAGCUAUUUCUAGACUUCAUUGCAUUGAAAAUGACAGAACUACUGAAUGCACAAUGACUAUUGAACUAACCCGGGAUUUCAGUAGAUAACCAUCACUGAACCCUUGUUUUAGAAAUCUCUUGCUGGUCACAGUCUCAUUCUCUUUGUCUCACUACAUUUAUUGAUGUGUUUUAUUUCACAGAUAAAAGGGUAGGUUAACAUUUGCAUUUGUUGUAAGCUGCUUUAAAGACAGUGAAAGCAUAUACAGUAGAGUCUCACUUAUCCAACACUCGCUUAUCCAACGUUCUGGAUUAUCCAACACAUUUUUGUAGUCGAUGUUUUCAAUAAAUCGUGAUAUUUUGGUGUUAAAUUCAUAAAUUCUUUCGCCGCUCAUGAUGGCGGCGAAAGAAGGCAGAGAAGAACGACGCUGGUGACAACGGACGAGGAUCUUAUCCAAGCUUCUAGAUUAUCCAAGCCAUUUUUGUAGUCAAUGUUUCAAUAUAUCAUGAUAUUUUGGUCGUAAAUUCGUAAAUACAGUAAUUACAACAUAACAUUUACUGCGUAUUGAACUACUUUUUCUGUCCAAUUUGUUGUAUAACAUGAUGUUUUGGUGCUUAAUUUGUAAAAUCAUAACCUAAUUUGAUGUUUAAUAGGUUUUUCCUUAAUCCCUCCUUAUUAUCCAAGAUAUUCGCUUAUCCAAGCUUCUGCUGGCCCGUUUAUGUUUGAUGAGUAAGACUCUACUGUAUUAAUAUAACACAAAUAGAGGUAUAAUACCAUAAGUAGUAUUAACAUCUAUAUAUAUAAAAGGGUAAUGAAAUUUCGGCCUAGGACAAAACAAUUAGAAGGAGAGGAAUAAUUGUUUUUAUCCAAUUGCUGCCAGUUAGAAGGCUAAGCUCCGCCCACUUGGUCUCCUAGCAACCCACUCAGCCCAGGGGACAGGCAGAGUUAGGCCUCACUUAUUUUUAUUUAUUUAUUUACAGUAUUUAUAUUCCGCCCUUCUCACCCCGAGGGGGACUUAGGGCGGAUCACAUUACACAUAUAAGGCAAACAUUCAAUGCCUUUAACAUAGAACAAAGACAAGACGAACAUAGGCUCCGAGCUGGCCUCGAACUCAUGACCUCUUGGUCAGAGUGAUUUGUUGUAGCUGGCUGCAGCUGGCUGGCUGCUCACCAGCCUGCUCCACAGCCCGGGCCUCUUCCACACUGCCUAUAAAAUACAGAUUAUCUGAUUUUAACUGGAUUAUAUGGCAGAUCCACACAGCUAUAUAACCCACUGAACUUAAUCUCAGGGGAAAACCUUUACCCUUUACCUUAACUACCACCAAUUCCUCAAUACUUUAUUUCCCAUACCACCAUACUUCGCCACAGCAACGCAUGGCUGGGCACAGCUAGUGUAUUAUAAUAGAAUACAUUUCAUUAGCUAUCUCUUUAUAGCAGUGGUUCCCAACCUUUUCUUCACCAGGGACCACUCUCCAACAUUAGUAACAAAAAGGUUACGAAUCAGUUUUUGGUCAACUUUAAAUUUGGUUUGAUUAUCUGGGGUGCUGAUUCAGAAAAUUGCAUUAGAGAGAUCAUAUCAGCUCUAGGUUCUGAUACAGAACAUAUACCAUCCAGUCGUCGCCAUCUCCUUGCCCACAAAAAACAUAUUUCAUCUAGAGUUGAUGUGGUCUAUCCAAUGCAAUUUUCUGAAUCAGCACCCCAAAUAACCCCAGGAGCAGGCCUAAAAACGAAGACACACACACAAAAAAAUUUUGGUUGGGCUGUGUUAUUAUUUAUAGUAGUAUUUAUUUAUUUUAUUUAUUUACAGUAUUUAUAUUCCGCCCUUCUCACCCCGAAGGGGACUCGGGGUGGAUCACAUUGCACAUAUAAGGCAAACAUUCAAUGCCAUAACAUAGAACAGAGACAGAGACAGACGCAGGCUUGGGCUGGCCUCGAACUCAUGACCUCUUGGUCAGAGUGGUUUGUUGCAACUGUCUGCUAACCAGCCUGCGCCACAGCCCGGCCUAGUAAUGAUGAGGCUGCGGACCAUGUCUUAGUUCUUGCAGACCACAGGUUGGGAACCACUGCUUAAUAGUAUAAAAACCUCUCCAGGGGCAGAAGAAAAUUACUCUGGAUUCUGAACAACCCUGUACUGUUCCUUCAGUCUUGGUUCUCUUCAAAAUAAUUGUGGAUGUAUUUCUCUUGGAGAAAAUUUUAUCCCUUCCUGCCUUCAUAGCUAUAGCUCUAUGCUGGAAAAUGUCCAGCUUUCCCAAUGUUGCUAGACCAUAGCAUUUAGCAUCUUAACCAGAUCUCGGUGGCGCAGUGGGUUAAACCCUUGUGCCAACAGGACCAUGACUUGAAGGUUGGUUGCUGACCUGAAGGUUGCCGGGUUUGAAUUCAAACCGGGGAGAGCGCAGAUGAGCUCCCUCUCUCAGCUCAAGCUCCAUGUGGGGGACAUGAGCAGCACGCCUCCCACAAGAAUGGUAAAAACCUCAAAACAUCCUGGGCAU